AAUGAACGCUGGCGGCAGGCUUAACACAUGCAAGUCGAGCGAGCGGCGGACGGGUGAGUAAUGUCUGGGCAACUGCCUGAUGGAGGGGGAUAACGACUGGAAACGGUAGCUAAUGCCGCAUACCCUCAGAUGUGCCCAGAUGGGAUUAGAGAGUAGGUGUGGUAAUGGCUCACAGAGGCGACGAUCCCUAGCUGGUCUGAGAGGAUGACAGGCCACACUGGAACGGAGACACGGUCCAGACUCCUACGGGAGGCAGCAGUGGGGAAUAUUGCACAAUGGGCGAAAGCCUGAUGCAGCCAUGCCGCGUGUGUGAAGAAGGCUUUCGGGUUGUAAAGCACUUUCAGCGAGGAGGCGUUACUCGCAGAGGAAGCACCGGCUAACUACGUGCCAGCAGCCGCGGUAAUUC
rnacentral:rRNA from 1 species